AGUUUGAUCCUGGCUCAGGAUGAACGCUAGCUACAGGCUUAACACAUGCAAGUCGAGGGGCAGCAUGAUUGAAGCUUGCUUCAAUUGAUGGCGACCGGCGCACGGGUGAGUAACACGUAUCCAACCUGCCGAUAACUCGGGGAUAGCCCUUCGAAAGAAAGAUUAAUACCCGAUAGUAUAGUAUUUCCGCAUGGUUUCACUAUUAAAGAACUUCGGUUAUCGAUGGGGAUGCGUUCCAUUAGAUAGUUGGCGGGGUAACGGCCCACCAAGUCAACGAUGGAUAGGGGUUCUGAGAGGAAGGUCCCCCACAUUGGAACUGAGACACGGUCCAAACUCCUACGGGAGGCAGCAGUGAGGAAUAUUGGUCAAUGGACGAGAGUCUGAACCAGCCAAGUAGCGUGAAGGAUGACUGCCCUAUAGGUUGUAAACUUCUUUUAUACGGGAAUAAAGUGGAGUAUGCAUACUCCUUUGUAUGUACCGUAUGAAUAAGGAUCGGCUAACUCCGUGCCAGCAGCCGCGGUAAUACGGAGGAUCCGAGCGUUAUCCGGAUUUAUUGGGUUUAAAGGGAGCGUAGGCGGGUGCUUAAGUCAGUUGUGAAAGUUUGCGGCUCAACCGUAAAAUUGCAGUUGAUACUGGGUACCUUGAGUGCAGCAUAGGUAGGCGGAAUUCGUGGUGUAGCGGUGAAAUGCUUAGAUAUCACGAAGAACUCCUAUUGCGAAGGCAGCUUACUGGACUGUAACUGACGCUGAUGCUCGAAGGUGUGGGUAUCAAACAGGAUUAGAUACCCUGGUAGUCCACACAGUAAACGAUGAAUACUCGCUGUUGGCGAUACACAGUCAGCGGCCAAGCGAAAGCAUUAAGUAUUCCACCUGGGGAGUACGCCGGCAACGGUGAAACUCAAAGGAAUUGACGGGGGCCCGCACAAGCGGAGGAACAUGUGGUUUAAUUCGAUGAUACGCGAGGAACCUUACCCGGGCUUAAAUUGCAGCGGAAUGUAGUGGAAACAUUACAGCCUUCGGGCCGCUGUGAAGGUGCUGCAUGGUUGUCGUCAGCUCGUGCCGUGAGGUGUCGGCUUAAGUGCCAUAACGAGCGCAACCCUUAUCUAUAGUUACUAUCAGGUCAUGCUGAGGACUCUAUGGAGACUGCCGUCGUAAGAUGUGAGGAAGGUGG
rnacentral:rRNA from 1 species